AUGGAAAAGGUCGAACAUUUGAACCUGAAUAUUCAGAAUAUUCUAGAAGAUGUCGAUAUUGAUACGGCGAGCUCUUCAUCUGAUGAUGAGCCGGAGCAGGCAGUCGUAAAACAAGAGAAAUUGGAGGCUGGAGAACAAAUUGAAGAACAAUAUGAUACAGAUUCCGAUUAUGAUGAUGAUAUUGUCGAAUUCGCAGAAGCUACCGGGGAUUUCACGAAAAAGCUGAACGCGGCUCGCCUGAACACAAUUGGACCGAAUGCGGCACGCAAUCGACUAACUGUUGAUGUGGAACGACACGCGGACACAAGUGAGGAUAGAAAGAGAAAACGUGUGAAGGAUCGAGCUGAUCGUGCUACUGUUGAACAGGUACUCGAUCCACGCACCCGCCUCGUACUUUUCCGACUAUUGCAACGUGGAACUCUUCUCAAUAUUGAUGGUUGUAUUUCAACAGGAAAAGAGGCAAAUGUCUAUCACGCAACUGGAACUGAUAAUGAUUUGGCUAUCAAAAUCUAUAAGACGAGUAUUCUGACGUUUAAGGAUCGAGAGAGAUAUGUUACUGGAGAAUUUAGAUACCGCCAUGGAUAUUGUAAAUCAAAUCCGAGAAAAAUGGUCGCUGUUUGGGCGGAAAAAGAGAUGAGAAAUCUGGCAAGAAUGCAUGAAGUUGGACUUCCAGUUCCAAAACCACAUCUUCUAAAAGGCCAUGUACUUGUGAUGGAUUUUCUUGGAAAAGAUGGAUGGCCGGCUCCGUUGCUUAAAAAUGCGAAUUUGAGCCAAGAGGUGUGGAUAAAUGAGAAAAAAAGAGAAAAAAAACAAAGUUAUAAAACAUUUAAUAUUCUUAUUUUAAAAAAUCCGAAAAUCGAUUUUCCAAAAAAAAAAGUAAAAAUCUAUAUAUUUCAAAUAGUUAUUUAGUUAACGAUAUUUUUAGAAAAUAAUAAUAAAAAAAUUACAGAGCAAUUUCAAAAUUUUAUCAAUUUUUUGUUUUUUUUUUUGAUGAGAAAAACAAAAAUCUCCAAAAUUUCUAUUUAAAAAAAAAAAACGUCAUAUUGUCCAAGACGUCAAAAAAGCCGAAAAAAGUUAGUAAAAUAUUCUAAAAAAUGAAUUUUUUCGAAUUUAUACCCUUAACAUGUCUAAAAAUUGUUUUCAAAAAACUUCAAAUUUCCAGAACGUCAAAAAAUAUUGAAAAAAGUGAAUAAAAUAUUCUAAAAAAUGAAAAAAAUCGAAUUUAUUUCCUUAAAAAUGCUCAAAAAAUGUUUAAAACUUCAAAUUUCCCAGGACAUCAAAAAAAUCAAAAAAAAAAAAGUGAAUAAAAUAUUCUAAAACGUUAAAAAAAUUGAAUUUAUUCCCUUAAAAAUGCUCAAAAAAUGUUUAAAUCUUCAAAUUUCCAGAACGUCAAAAAAUAUUGAAAAAAGUGAAUAAAAUAUUCUAAAAAAUGAAAAAAAAUCGAAUUUAUUCCCUUAAAAAUGCUCAAAAAAUGUUUAAAACUUCAAAUUUCCAAGGACGCCGAGCCAAUGUACGUCGGUUUGGUGCGCGAUAUGAGACGUCUGUACAGAGAAUGUAAGCUGGUUCAUGCUGAUUUAAGUGAAUUCAACAUGCUCGUACACGAUGGGAAACUGUGGAUUAUUGAUGUAUCACAAUCUGUUGAACAGGAUCAUCCACACGCGCUGGAAUUUUUGAGAAUGGAUUGUAACAAUGUGAACAAGUUUUUCAGAGAACUCGGAGUCCCAGUUCUAUCAGUCCGCCGACUAUUCGAAGUGAUUGUCGAUCCGCUGAUGAGUUCCAAAGAAAUGGAGACAAUUAUUGAAGAAGAACGAGUUCUUGUGAAUUCAGAAGAUGAUUCUCUAUUUAUGAAUGCAUUUAUUCCACAUAAACUGGAGCAUGUUCUACAUUUCGAACGGGAUGGAAAACUUGCAAAAGAGGGUGUUGAAGCGAAUAACCCAUUCCAAAAUAUUGUCUCAAAAAUUGAUUUGAAAGGUGAUGGAUUUGGAGAAGAGCACGAUGAUAGUGAUGAUAAUGAUGAUGAGGAAAAUGGAAAAAAAUCGAGAAAAAAGAGAGCUGAACCGACGGAAGAAGAAAUUCAAGAAAAAGAACGAAAGAUUGCUAUGCACACGAGAAAUCGUGAGGAGACGGCCGAAGAGCGAAAGGAACGAAAAGCUGCUGUAAAAGAGGAGAAACGGGAACAGAGGAAGGAGAAAAUUCCGAAACAUUUGAAAAAGCGAGCACAUCGACAGCAUAUGAAGUAG
rnacentral:misc_RNA from 1 species